UACGUAGGGACCGAGCGUUGUCCGGAAUCAUUGGGCGUAAAGAGCGUGUAGGCGGCCACUUAAGUCCUGCGUGAAAUCUUGCGGCUCAACCGCAAGCGGUCGUGGGAAACUGGGUGGCUAGAGUGCGGGAGAGGAGAGUGGAAUUCCUGGUGUAGCGGUGGAAUGCGCAGAUAUCAGGAAGAACACCGAAGGCGAAGGCAGUGUCCUAGCUCGUUUCUGACGCUCAAGCACGAAAGCUAGGGGAGCGAACAGG
rnacentral:rRNA from 1 species